UAAGUAGGGGGCAAGCGUUAUCCGGAAUCACUGGGUGUAAAGGGUGCGUAGGCGGUCAUGUAAGUCAGAUGUGAAAUACCGAAGCUCAACUUCGGGGCUGCAUUUGAAACUGUGUGACUAGAGUACAGGAGAGGUAAGUGGAAUUCCUAGUGUAGCGGUGAAAUGCGUAGAUAUUAGGAAGAACACCAGUGGCGAAGGCGACUUACUGGACUGAAACUGACGCUGAGGCACGAAAGCGUGGGGAGCAAACAGG
rnacentral:rRNA from 1 species